GUGGUCUACGAAGACGCUGACCUGGAGUCAAGGGAGGUCCAAGGAAAGCCCUCCAGCGUCUGAGGGGAGUCGAGAGUCCACCUCGGUGGACAGAGUCCCGCUCAGGAGAAGCCUCGGCCUGGAGACUUUCCCCAACGUCCUGCUGUUCAGAACCUGCGUGCCGUGUGCAGAACAAGGUUUCCGUCCCGCAGCAGCCUUGUUGGAGAGUCCCAGCCCGGUUGGCAAAGAGACCUGUGAGACCCCACGAAGACCAGCAAGAGAUCUCUGUUUGGGUAAUUUCCUGAGGUUCACCAGUGGACAGGAUGCAGGCCCUUCUCCCGUCACUGGUGUUGCAAAACGUCAGCUCACACCUUGGAGGAGACGCAUUUCACUAUAAUUAUUUUUUUUAAUAAGUAAUAAGUUGACAUUACUGCAGCUUGUCAGCUUAUGGCAUCCGCUGGAUCCGUUUCUAUUUAUUUGGUAUCUCUAAACUGUUCCGUGUGUUUUAUAUUUUUAACAUUUUAGAAACUGCAUGUAUACGUUUUUCCUUUAUUAAUAUUUCACACAGAUGACCUUUGACCAAAAUGUAAUAUCAAGUGAA